GCCAGCAUGGUGUAGUGGCUUGAGCGUUGGACUACAACUUUGGAGACCAGGGUUCAAAUCCCUGUUCAGCCA
rnacentral:tRNA from 1 species